AGUUCUUGAUUUCAGAGAUGUCAAGUUUGACAUCUCUGUGAAUGUUGAUUAGAAUAUAAUUUGGUUUGGGAAGGGAAUCAGCUCUUGCUUGAGCUAUAUUAUUGGUAACUAGAUUUUAGAAAAUUAUGAGAAAGAAUUUCUUUUAUAUGGGACUGGGGGGGGGGUGCAAAUUCGUCAUUGCACCCCCCUUUCAGAAGAAAGGGGGGUGCACCUGCACCCUUGAACCCCCCUGGUUACGGGCCUGAUACAAACAUAGUCUGUACAGCUUUCUCUAGUCGCUUAAAAGUCGGCUCGGUGCUGGAGAUAAACCGGAAUUACUUGAUCCAGCAGAAUUUGAAAAAUUAAGCGUCUAGGACAUCAGGUUGCAGAGACAUUAAAGUAUUAGUACAUUAAAGUUCUAGGUUACAUGACAUUCAGCUGAUUUCCUAAUCUCUCGUCUUUUCUUCUAUUUCCCGCAUUUACAUCACCAUUCACCACCCAGCCCGGACAUGUUUCAUUGAAAUCUCCGAGUUUUCACGGAAUAGAUUAAUUAGGACCGUUAUACACGAUUUCAGGGUAAAUUAGAUACAUAGUAUUCAUAAAAAGUAGCCAUAGUGCAUUGUAAGUAAUACAAAUAUAUACAUAAAAUUUAUUUCGGAAAAUUGAAAAGAUUGUCAUGAAAAAUUUUG